GAUUUCUCGCAAGUUUUGGAGGAAAGAUAAAAAAUGUGAUAAAAUUUACUCAAAAACUCUGCAAAAUAAAACAGUUUUUGUGUAUUUUGUAGAAAAUAUUGGAUAGGACGAAGAGUAUUUUAUAUUCUUGAAAUGGUUGUUACAUGUGAUAUAUUCGAAAGAAGAAAAAUGGCGAGGAAAAUGUUGUAGAUUGAUCAGCCAAAGGAAUAUUGAGUGGACGUUUAUGCCUGCAACUUCGGUAAGUGUUUCAAUCACCUCAAGGACUGUUUCACACACACGCACAUCUCAAAUGAUUAAACAAACGGUAAACAAAGGCUCGUCAUUAGUCUUUCAUAUUUACCUUGACACUUAUAUUCAAUGCCUAGCCAUGUAAUUUACUAUCGUAAUAUAUAAUCUGUAUGCAAAAAGCGCAAAAGAGAAGCAUUAUUAGAAUGGAAAAUUAUAGUGAUUAAAAUGUUUUUAAGACAUAGAAUUAAAAUAUAUCAAAUUGAUUAGACGCUGUCGUUUGUGUUGGGUUUACUCAGAUAUAAGGAAGAUACACAAAUGUGUUGAGUGAAUAUUAUUGUUUUUUAAUCACGAACACUCGUAUAAGCUGAAAAUCCUUUAAUGACUCCUUAUUAAUAACAAGUGCAAUAAAUGCUAGAUUUCGACGCCCACUUUAAAGGAUUUGAAAACAAAACAUCAUUUGAGCAUUAGAAAGUGAUAAGCAGUCUACAGUACAUAGAGUAAUGCUUGUGUCAAUAUCUUAAAACACAGCCAAGUUUUCUGUCGUAAUUUGUCAUCUGUGAACUAAUUUAUUGGAUUUGGAAUUUUAACGAAGGUUAAUGCUACAAUUAGCCAUUAUAGGAAUGAAAAACUAACACUAGGUUCGUCCAAACGUCGUGUAUAGUCGUGCAAACAUCGUGCAUACUUCGGAAGAAAAUUAUUGUGUCAGAUAAAGUAAUAACAAUACUUGCUGCUUGUGGUGACCUAUAUAUUAAGAGUUAAUCCUAUGGUUUAUUUUUAUUCAACGUAAUUAUUCUUGUUGCUAAUAAAGCACUAAAUGAUUUAUAUUUUCUGUUCAAAGAUAGCAACAUGCUGCUAAUCUGCUCAAGACAUUGUAUUCUUUGUACUUAAUCCUUGUUAAACCUUUUGCUAGACACCGGGUCUCAUGCACUGAUCUCUUGUAGUACAUGCAAAUGAUACAUAAUUUGUCCUGGCGGAACUAUUUAACAGCUAUCACUUUUGAUCGGACGCCAGAUAAUUUUUUUACCAGUUUUAAAGUCACUGUAUUGAUCAUAGCGUAAGUUUUUAAGUGAGGGUUUCUUAUGUAGCCUUUAACAUCAUGUGCUGAUGGUCUGGUGCUUAAGACAAUAAUCUCGCAAACUGAAAGAGUUUGGUUCAAAUGUCCUUCAUUCACUUCAUUUCUCGCAGUCGCAGUGAGCGAGUAAUGAUCCCACAAUCACCACAUUAGGCAAUGUCAUAUAUACUAAGCCUUCCACUGAUAUAUUCAAACACGCUGUGUUUAGCAAGUGCUUAUAGUCUAAUGGUAAAAACAAUUGUGAGCCUCCAGAAGUGCCAGACUUUAACAACAAUUUCCUUAGAUUUAACAACGAUUUCCAAAAUCUCCAUUACCCAUAGGUCUAUUUUUUAUGCCAUUGCCUUAGGCAUGUUAAGUCAAUUUCAAUAAAUCUUUGUACAUGUUUCAGACCACCAGGAUCAUUUGAGGAACCCUUAAAAAUUGCAAGGCAAUUUUUGAAGAUUGGUUAGAUGAAAAAUGUUGAUAAUGUAUAAAUGUACUGCCGUGAAAAAUAGUCCAUAUGGUGGCCAGAUUAUCUCUUCGGGCACUCCGGUUUCCCUCCAUUUCAUGUUUGGCAAAAAAACAGUGACCAUUUCUGCGCCAAACAAAGAUCUAUAGUGAAUUCCAUUUCUUCAUUAAACAGUGCUGUUAUGUUUGGCCUCUGGGUUAAAAUCCCUUAUUGUGUUAAAAUGCAGGGGCAACUGCUCUCUGCAGAUCCUUUUACUCACAGGUGCAAGGGGGACAUAAGAUGCACCCAAUUCUAUUCAGAUUGCUUUAGAACUUCUUAAUAAAUUCGCUAGAAAUGGCACCAUCAACUUGACAACUGUCCCAGUGUAGCGUAGAUUUGAAUAUAGAUAUUGAGCAGUCGGCAUGGAUCCUGAAGAUUUCAAGUUUGGGUUGACGAAAGUAUUUUUACACCAGCAAAUGUAAGAUUAUUGUAGCAUUGUUAAGGUGAUUGAUUUAUUGAAAGGUUUCCACUAAAAUAAUUUUCAUUAUUGUAGUUUGCAGUAUUUGAUCAGAUAAUGCAGUCAGAUCCUCAGGAGAGUCUAAAAGCUCUUGUAUCGAAAGUUUCAAGGUGGAUUGUUGUCAAUCGCUGGAAGAAAGCGAUAUGCGGCAAACAAAAUCAAGUUCAGAGCAAAAGCUUGUGUCACGAUUCAGAAGACCGUCAAAAUGUUCCUUGCAUGGAAAAAACACCAGCCAAGAUAUAAAGGAAUGAUUAUGAUUAAAAGACUUCAUUCUCGAUUAGAAACAAUGAACAGUAUUGGUAAGGAAUGAUCCUUACUAGACCUCUAGCCUCUAGGAAGAACAGUUUAGAACUGAUGGAGCUAUCCAGUAUAAAAAAGUUAGUUUAGUUUAGGUUUCUUCCAUGUUUUUACAAUAAUGUCGCAACAUUAUUGAACUUCAAUCUUUUUUCAUUGCACCCAUAUGAGCAUGCACUGCUGGUGAACUGCUCCAACACUUAAUGGUCACUAUAGAUAACGUUUUCCAACACUAGAUCAAAUUCGUAGAUAGUCCUUUUUAACAUAUACGAUUAUUUAUUUCACUUUGUAAUAUUUAUACAUAAAAAUACUAUGAUGCAGUUAGGAUAAUUUUUUCUUAAUCGUCGUAUUUUUUCAAUUUGUGUGGUCUGUAAUAUGUGUGUCUUUACUCUUAGAUUUAUCUUCAGCUUUAUUGACAUAAUUGUUGUAUUUUUUUUCAGUUUUGCUGUAGUGCCCUGGGUGUUUUGCCUUGGGCAGAGAAUAUACAGAAUUUGAUUUGAUUAACAAAAAGCCAUAAACAAUAUGAAAUACUCUGCGUACAAGCGUUAAAGAAGUUUUUACGUUAAAUGAGGUUAAAGAAGCGUUUUACAAUGGAAACCCAGCAUUGACGAAAUCAAAGAGAAAUGAUAUUUUAUAUCUUCAGGUAAACAUUGUUGGUAAGCAAGGAUGUGGCAAGACUUCCCUUAUUGAUACAUUCGAUGCUGGUAAAUUUCCAUCAAUUACCUCUGUGUUUCGUUACUCUCGUUACAAGCUAAUGGCUGUGAAUAAUAUUCCUGUGGAGUUAGUAACUUAUGAUAUAAUUGCGGUAGAAGAUUAUGAAGAUGUUAAGACAAGAUAUUUAGUGCUAUAAAUGUUCUCAGAAAUAAACAUUUUAUGUUAUUCAGUUGAGUGAAGAGAAAGUUUUGAAAGUCUUUCCAGUUUAUUAGUUGGACUAAAAAAGGAGCUUCGUCCUGGCAAACAAACGCAUGAACUGAAACGAACUACGGGGCCGAAAGAUGGGGAAGGAGAAACGUAAAGGCUUGCUCGCAGCGAAUAAUAGGGUUAUCCUAGGGAAUACUCGUUUUGAAAGGAAAAGACGGAUUGAAACUGAAUACCUAUAUAAUUAUUUGUAUUGUUUUAUAUGAAUGUACUUUAUGCUAGACUUCUCUGUCCUUUUGUUUUACCGAAUACACGCAAAUACAAAACUCGAUUUCGACAAUAUGCAGGAGUAAAAAUUGAAUGGAAUUUGGCUUUUUUGAUUGAGAUAUAAACUGAACACUCUUCUGUUUACCUCCUUCAUUUUCAAGUUUUCCGCCUGUGCAUGAUUUUUGCAUGAAGUCUGGUCGUAUCAAGCGCAUGCGAUAGAUCAUUUUGGACCAGUUUACAAUGGAAAUUGUCAACUCACAAUCGAAAUUGUCAACUCACAAUGGAAAUUGUCAACU
rnacentral:lncRNA from 1 species